UACGAAGGGGGCUAGCGUUGCUCGGAAUCACUGGGCGUAAAGCGCACGUAGGCGGCUUUUUAAGUCAGAGGUGAAAUCCUGGAGCUCAACUCCAGAACUGCCUUUGAUACUGAGGAUCUUGAGUACGGGAGAGGUGAGUGGAACUGCGAGUGUAGAGGUGAAAUUCGUAGAUAUUCGCAAGAACACCAGUGGCGAAGGCGGCUCACUGGCCCGUUACUGACGCUGAGGCACGAAAGCGUGGGGAGCAAACAGGG
rnacentral:rRNA from 1 species